rnacentral:rRNA from 1 species
CUCAAAGAUGAUGAGGUUAAUAGGUUCGAGGUGGAAGCAUGGUGACAUGUGGAGCUGACGAAUACUAAUCGAUCGAAGACUUAAUCAA